rnacentral:rRNA from 1 species
GACAGAGGGUGCAAACGUUGUUCGGAUUUACUGGGCGUAAAGCGUGUGUAGGCGGCUUCGCAAGUUGGAUGUGAAAUCCCACGGCUCAACCGUGGACGUGCAUCCAAAACUGCGUCGCUAGAGUCUCGGAGAGGAAGGUGGAAUGCUUGGUGUAGAGGUGAGAUUCGUAGAUAUCAAGCAGAACACCUGCGGCGAAGGCGGCCUUCUGGACGAUGACUGACGCUGAGACACGAAAGCGUGGGGAGCAAACAGG